CUUUCCCUCUGGCGGCAUGCCUUACACAUGCAAGUCGAACGGCAGCACGGGUGCUUGCACCUGGUGGCGAGUGGCGAACGGGUGAGUAAUACAUCGGAACAUGUCCUGUAGUGGGGGAUAGCCCGGCGAAAGCCGGAUUAAUACCGCAUACGAUCUACGGAUGAAAGCGGGGGACCUUCGGGCCUCGCGCUAUAGGGUUGGCCGAUGGCUGAUUAGCUAGUUGGUGGGGUAAAGGCCUACCAAGGCGACGAUCAGUAGCUGGUCUGAGAGGACGACCAGCCACACUGGGACUGAGACACGGCCCAGACUCCUACGGGAGGCAGCAGUGGGGAAUUUUGGACAAUGGGCGAAAGCCUGAUCCAGCAAUGCCGCGUGUGUGAAGAAGGCCUUCGGGUUGUAAAGCACUUUUGUCCGGAAAGAAAUCCUUGGCCCUAAUACGGUCGGGGGAUGACGGUACCGGAAGAAUAAGCACCGGCUAACUACGUG
rnacentral:rRNA from 1 species